UCCUUGGUGGUUGCAUUUGAUGGAGGCCAUCCAGAUUCUGGAAUUGUUGUUACUGGGAGCGGCCUUGACUUGAAUCAACAGGAAGAAGAACUUGGACAAAGGAAGAUUGAGCUUGAAGCAGAGGAAAGAAAGCUUGAAGAAACUUUGGAGUAUCAGUGACGAAUUGAAAAUGAGGCCAAACAGAAGCACCUUGCUGAGCAACAUAAAAAAACUGCAAUAGCAAUUUUAGAGAAGAAGGAAGCAGUUGGACUGCCAGAUGAUUGCUUCCUGCACAUCGAUAAUGAUCAAAAUGUGUUUGAACAACUGAAACAUAGUAGGCAGGUGAGCGUUCGUUGUACUAAUUUCUCUUUGUUAUUAACAGAAUAAAUAUAUUGGUCCGUCUGUUUCUCAAGAACAUGAACAUAUAGGACUUUAGCUCAUUACUGUGGUUAGAUUAUGCAAACAAUGAUGAAAGAAAUUUCAUUCAAGUCUGAGUUAACUCACAAACCUGCACUCUAGGAACCGUCAAGUCAGAGCAAUGGAUUCAUGAACGUUUUAGAACUUGUGCCUGGAGACCCUGGAGAUGAAGCAUCCCAGAGGAUGGAUAAAUACCCACACCAAUCACCAUGAUGGAGAAAUUAAACAACAUAAGUUACUCCCUCCGUUCCCAAAAGGAUGAACAAAGACAAUUUGGACACAUUAAGAAAAGUAAAAGUAGAGAAAAGAGAGUAAAAAAGUUUUAAAUUUAUUCUUAGUAAAGAAAAUAAAAGGAAAAAUUAAGGUAUUUUAUUUAGUCAGUUGAAGGACUCUGGAAUCUUUCUAUAUGCUUAACCAUUUAAUAGAUAUUGUGGGUAGUUUGUCGGUUUAAUAAUAUUAGUACCACGUAACAACUCUAUUGUCUUUGUGUAUUGAUUUUGGCAUUAAGUGUCUUUGGUGACCUAUUUGUUUCAUUUUUCUGAUUUGCUAUUAUUUUUAAAUAUGUGUAGGAAGACUGUUUCUACGACAUGCCUUACAAUAUUGGGUAUCAAAUUUCUAUGUUACGUUUACAGAAGAUAAGGGACGAAAUUAUGAAGUGUACUCUCUCUAUAUAUGUAGAUAUAUACUUUGAUUGAAGAACUGAGGUAGCUUUAGAUGGUUAAUUGUAAAGAUAAUGAAUGAUUGUGUAGUGAAUGAUUUUAUUAAUUUAAUAAUAUUUUAAUUUUUUGUAUUUUUGUCAUUAUUUGUUUUGGGGACAUUGAGCCAGUCAGGUAUACAAAAAGAAUGUCAAAUUUUGAUUUGGCAACAAUAUAAUUCGUUACCAAAGCAUCGAACAAGUUUUAAUAUAGCAACAAUUUUUUAGCAAUAACUUUUCGUUGCUAAUGACAUUAAAAAUAUAAUAUUUGUCAACGAAAAAUUAACCUAAUAACAAUGACGAGGAUACUGUUGCUAAUACUAACAUAAAAGGCAACAUUUUUUAUCGUUGCAAAUCAUAUCAACUUUCGUUGCACAUAUAAAGAAACGACAACAUAUAAUGUCGUUGCUAAUCGACGACUUUCGUUGCUAUUGAAAAAUAACCAGCAACAAACAUUUUCGUUGCUGAUUCAGCAUAAUGUCGUUGCCAAAUAAUAUAAUAAGCAACAAAAAUCGUUGCUAAAAAGUUUACAUUCCGCAACGAAAGCAAGCUUAAGCAACAAUUUUCAUAAUUUACUGCAACGAAAAAUGUCGUUGCAAAAUGGUCUUAAUUGCAACGAAAAUGCAUGGUCGUUGCAAAAAAAAAGAGUUCAUUUCGUUGCCGAUUAGCAGACUUUUGCAACGAAAUAGGGUUUUUAGCAACGACAUGUUAAUUAUUCUGCAACAAUACAUUUUGUUGCUAAAGGAUCGAUAUCUGUGUACGAAAGUCAAAUUUCGUUGCAAAAUGUAUUACUUUUGGCAACGAAAAAAAUGCGUUCGUUGCGGAACAUUUAGCAACGCUCAUUGCGCAACGAAAGACUCAACGACAGUAAAAUCGUUGCCAAAACCCUUUUGCAACGAAAUUUGGCACCUUUAGCAACGAAAAUUGUUUGUUGCUGAAGCCCCAUUUUUUUGUAGUGUGUUAAGGGAGAUGAUUAAAGAAUAAGAUCACGACGUGAUCUGUUUAAGUUAUAAAAGAAAGAUGGUCUGUAAUGUUUGAAUGAUUAUAGCUUAAUGCUAUGAAGAUGGUGUACUAUGAAUGUGACAACCCGAGAAUUUAGAAAAUUUUUAAAAUUUUAAUUAAUUGAUUUUAGGUUCAAAAUUAGAACCUAGGUAGAAAAUUAGUGUAUGCGUUUAAUAUUUUUAAGAUGAAUUUUGAGGAUUUCAAAAUUCUGUGAAGGAUUUAGGUGAAUUAUUCAAAAUUAAGGGAAUAAGCAUUUAUGUUCUAUGUAUAUGUGUGAAUGAUGUGGUUAAGGGUCAAGGGUUGACCAGAUAAACGAUAUCUGUAACAAACCCUAAGUAUAUAUUAAGAACGUCAAUGUUCGGUUAGAAAACCCUAGCGAUUAACAAGAAACCCUAGAAAUCGGUUCUAAAACCCCUAAUUUUAGUUCAGGAAUUCGAAACCCUAAUUCGAUGUAUGAAACCCUAAUCUAGGAACUUAAAUGAUUAUUAUAUUGUUUAAGUGCUAUUAAUUAUAAUAUUAAUUAGGGUAAAGCUUAAUUAUUUAGUAAAACCCUAAUUUCAAAAUUUAAAACCCUAAUUUCGGGAUAAGAACCUUAAUUUAUAAUUGGGAAAACCUAAUUGUUAAUUAAUAAUUGUAAUAUUAAUUAGGAAACCUUAAUCCUAAUUUUCAAGUUAAGUAAUUAGAAAACUCUAAUCUAAUUACGAAAAUUUAAUUUCUAAAUUAGAAAAUUAUUUUUUCUAUUAGAAACCCUAAUUAGUGGUUUAUAAACCCUAAUGACCAUUUUGAUCCUAAUUGCUUAAUUAGCGAUUGUAAUUAGGAAAUGCUAAUCCUAAUUAGCAAGAUUGAAUUUAUGAUUAGAAAAUCUUAAUUAUAAUUAUAGAAUCCUAAUUAUAAUUUAGAAAUAUUAAAUUUCUAUUUUUGAAAACCUAAAUUAGAAAUUUUAGAAAAUUAAAUUUGUAAACCCUAAGGGUUUCAAACCCUAAACCCAAACCCAAAUCCUAAACCCUAAGGGUUUGGGCAUUUACUAGAAUGCCAUUAAAAUUAAAAUGGAAAAGACUAUUUUGCCCUUGUGCAUUAUUGGAUGUUGCUUGUAAAUCUUGCCAUAUAUUGGCUAGUUAACCACCCUAGAUCAGCCACAUGCUAAUAUCUCCAGCAGAUCAGCCCCAACAUCAGCCACAUUAUUGCAAUCAAUAAUACAUAUAGAUUAAAGUAAGAGAAAGCCUUACUUUAUUUCUCAUUCCAUCCAAGUCCCUUCUCUCUCUAACUUUUCGAAAUCUAGUGUGAGAGGGAGUGAAAAGGUGAGCCAUAAUCAGUUUCUAGCAAGCUAACCUCAGAAGACAGAAGACAGAAGACAGAAAACCAAGAUCAAAGUUUUAAAGGUAUAAAGCUCUAAUUCUAGAAAUUUCAUGAUCUGGUGUUAGAUGUUAGGAUUUGUUGUUUAGAUAUGUGUUAGAGGGUGUCAUUUGAUGAUCUGGGUUGUCAAAACCUAGAUCCAUAUCAUUUUGAUGCUCGAAAUCAAAGUUUUUAGAACUGAUCUAUGAACCCUAAAACAUGGCCUGACAGCCGAAUGUCAGGGCUCAUAGAUCUUUUCCUGUUAAAUGUUUUUGUGUUUUAAGAGUUUGAACUUGUUGUUUGUAGUAUGGCCUUUGAUCUGGAACUUGAAUCAAGUCCAGAUCAAGUGUAAAUCAAAAGUUAUUAAGGGUCAAACAACGUUGACCGACAUUGACUAGAAGUUCUGGGUAACCCAGAUUUGCCAACAAUGGGUCUGACAAUAUUUUUUAGCUUCGGAUCUUAGUGGUUUUUUGUUAGUUUGGCUAUAAUGUUGUUUUGAUCUUGUAUACUGACAUGUAGGCUUCAUGUUCAUACUUAUAGAACUCACAGAUCAUGUAUAUAAUCAAAGAUAAGAAGGGUCAAAGUANNNNNNNNNNNNNNNNNNNNNNNNNNNNNNNNNNNNNNNNNNNNNNNNNNNNNNNNNNNNNNNNNNNNNNNNNNNNNNNNNNNNNNNNNNNNNNNNNNNNAUAUAUAUAUAUAUAUAUUACAUACUUGAACCUUUAUAUCACAUAAACCGAGCCAAGAAAGCUAAGAUUAAAGGGCUCAAAUAAGGAACCUCAACUGUUCUUCAAUUUCUAGAAAACCCAGAAAUUGAAGAACAGCGUCUGACAAGUUUGUGAAGCUUAAAAUCUCUCAUUUGUGUUACUGUUUGGUCAUGAAAUCAAAUUGUAGUUAUAGUAUUACAUACAUACUAUAAUAUUAAAAUGAUUACCAGCUCUGAUUCAACACGAUCAUGAACUUAGAACCAGUCAAACAUGGUACCCUAGUAACUGGCGAUGAAGUUUUGGGUAGCCAAGAACAUCAAGAACAGGUCUGACAAUGUUUUCUGUAGCUUAGAUCUCACAGAUUAGUUAUGUUUUGGCCAUGAAGCUUGAUUAAGCUUGUAGUGUGUCGAUAAUACUACAACAUUAGUGGAAAACCGAUCCCAAAAAUAAUCAACUACACUGUUUUAAUUGAGGUCAAACUAGGCAACCUGUUAGCAGCUUAUGAAUAUCUGGGUUGGCUGAAGAACACCUAUAGCGACAGUUUUGUCACUAUAGGUACCUUUAGCGACAGAUAAAUUAGAAAAUAAUUAUUUUAAUUAAAUAAAUUGAAAUACAUAGAUUUUAAUUAUUAAAAAUACUUAAAAAAAUUCCGAAAAUUUAUUUUAAAUUCUGAAAAUUUAUUUUAAAUUCCGAAUAUAAAUGGUAUUUAAUUUUAUAAUAUUAAAUAAAUGAUUUAAAUACAUGAAAAAUCAUGAAAAAUAAUAUUAUGGUAUAAUAAAAUAUUUAAGUUAUUUUCAGUGACUUUUAAUAUUUUAGGAUGAAUUUCAUUAAUUAAUUAACAUUAAUGACAAUUAGUUUAUUUAAUAAAUAUAUUAAAUAAAUUAUGAAAAAAUAGAAUUAAUGAUUUAAAAAUCAUAUAAAAAUAAUUUAAGUGAUAUAAAUAUUUUAAGUUAUAACCUAUAACUUUUGAUAUUUUUUUAUGAAAAUAUUAAUAUUUUAAUAUUAAUAGUAAUUAUCAGAUAAUGAAUUUAACGGUAUUAAAAAUACUUUGUAAUAUUAUAAAUAUAUUAUAAUAUUAUGACAUGUAUUUCAUUAAUAUUUGAUAAUAAAUAGAUAUUAAUGAUAAUAGAAUAUUGUGGUAUUUAAUUCAUUUAAAUACGUUAUUAAGGAUUGAAAAAUUAUGAUAAAUGAUAUUAAUUAUCUGAAAAUUAUUUCAAGUCUAUGAAAAUUAUUUGGACUAAUAUUAAAAUUAUUUAAGUUAAUUGUUAAGUGUUUAGGCAAAGUUUAAUUAAACUUAAACUUGUGAAUUAUCCGACUAGACCGUCGGGAUGUCAGUUUUAUGUCGGGUUCAACUCAGACUGCAAUAGUUUGACUUGAUACCGAGUCUUAUAUGUGUUAUUGACUGAUAGAGUUAUGUGUUAUGUGUUUAGGUUAUUCUAUGUAUAUCUAUAUAUAUUAUAGUAUUAUAUUGUGAUGAUAUUAUUCUAAUAUUGGAGAUCUAUAUUACUAAUAUUAGGUUUUCGGAUAAUGCGUUAUAAAUUGCGUAGCGCUAAUCAACUGUUCAGGCAAGUUUGUAUUUACUUAACUCUACUAAGAGUUGUUUUAUUCAGAUAAGCUUAUGGUUAAUAUUUGCUGGUUGCCAUGAAUUGUACUCUGUACAUAUUGCAUGUAUAAGUCAGGUAUGAAAGGCUGAUCACCUUCAUUACCAGUUGGUUCAGAUAUAUUUGUUCAUGUAUAAUACUUGUUCAGUCAUAAAUUUGUUCCUGCUAGUUCACAAUUAUAUUGUUGAAUUAUAGCCAGCUUAUUAUUCAGACUCUUUCAAUCAUGAUAUAUCGUUAUAUUAUUGAACUUGAACUUGUUGGGCAAUCCUUAUGCUCACCAUUGCUAUAUCAUGAUAAAACAUUGCAGAUUAAGACGUACGCGUAAGAUACAAGGAAAGGUUAAAGACAGUUCCAGCUUAAAGUUAAUAUGCGCGAUUAGUUUUGUAAUAGUGUAGUUUGAUAAUAAUGUUAUAUGUUAGAAAAGUUAUGAUUUGUGUAUAAGUUAAGGUUACUCGACCUUGGGAAAAAGUGUGUAAGUUUAAUGUAUAAACAAUUUAUGUUUAUAUCUUCCGCAAAUAGUAAUAGUUGUAUAGAAUGAUUGAACCGGAUCCGCGGUGAUUCAGGACCUCGGAUUCGGGGCCCUCACAAUGAAAUAAUACAAGAUAACUCAUGAGGAGUUAUAGAUGAUGUGAUACGACGAAUUCGUAUCGAGCAAAGAACAAGUUAAGAGCAAGAUAGAGUUAGAAGGGAUUUCAAUUGAGGACUCAUGUGAUGGCUGAGUUGUACAAACCUUUGUAUGGGCGAGGGUUUUGUGCUUGCACUCAGUUUAUCACAUUGAUAAUCAUUGGAAUGUUUGUGUCGCGCUAUUUGUUAUAUGCCUGUUGAAAAGGUGAUUCUUUUCUCAUGUGUAUAACAGAUAGGUAGAGUAUAGUUAAAGAAUAUUAUAAGGUUAAGUGCGAGUUCUUAAAACUCAUACUUAUGGUAGGUUCGUGACUCAUAAUUAUAUGGUAUGUUUUUGAACCCCUCAGCGAAUGGACGCCUAUGGUCUGACUACGAUAAGUUCUUAAACUCAUAUGAUUGUGGCAAGUUCUUGAACUCAUAACGUAUGGUAAGUUUGACGAACUGGGUAUAGAUAAAUGUAAAUAGAGUAUUGAGGAUGAUAGGAAUAGAUAGACCUAUUAAGCAAUGGAUCAUUAUAGAAAGUGGAGUUGAUGGUGGAAGUAUUGGUAUUCUAAAUCUACUAGCUAUGCUAGACUUUCAAAAUUUAUUGACUUCGUGCUGAUGUUUAUAUUUUUAUUUUCUUGAAAAACAUUGGAUCAAAUGAUGGAACCAAUGAGGUUUAACAAAAAUACUUUAUUCGUAUGUCUAUGCUAAUUGCUUCGGCUAGACAAAAAUGAUUUGAAAUAUAUCAAAAUGUAUUUUAUAUCAUUAAUGCAUCAUGUAACCUGGUGCAAAGNNNNNNNNNNNNNNNNNNNNNNNNNNNNNNNNNNNNNNNNNNNNNNNNNNNNNNNNNNNNNNNNNNNNNNNNNNNNNNNNNNNNNNNNNNNNNNNNNNNNNNNNNNNNNNNNNNNNNNNNNNNNNNNNNNNNNNNNNNNNNNNNNNNNNNNNNNNNNNNNNNNNNNNNNNNNNNNNNNNNNNNNNNNNNNNNNNNNNNNNNNNNNNNNNNNNNNNNNNNNNNNNNNNNNNNNNNNNNNNNNNNNNNNNNNNNNNNNNNNNNNNNNNNNNNNNNNNNNNNNNNNNNNNNNNNNNNNNNNNNNNNNNNNNNNNNNNNNNNNNNNNNNNNNNGCUGAAAUGUUUGAGCACAAUACAUGUACGAAGGAUUGAUCCCCUAAGUACCUUGGAGUCCUUAUAGUCGUAUGACUGUUAAAGUUAAAGUUGAAAGAUUGCAUAUAACUGUGGACAUGGUUCGUGGUCAUUAGACCCUCAGUUGAAUGCUUGCACUCUAAAUUCUGAGAUGAACAACUCUUUUAUUAGAGGUUGCACUUAGUUUAUACUUUGCGCUGAAAUGUUUGUGCACAAUACAUAGUACGAAGGGCUUAACACCCUAAGUACUGAGCGUAAUGCAUAUAGUCGUUACAAAACAUUACGUUGCGGCCCAACGUAGUGGUAUAAUAGGUUGGCCACCUAGUGUACGAGUGGAGGGUGUUUUCAGUCUUUGUGAUUGAUAAACAUUCUGCCAAAGAGGGUUUAAAGUGUGAAGAACCGGGGGUGAAGCACUAUUAAACCUAGAGAAGAGUUCACGGUCUUAUGACCCCUCAGCAUGAUUUGGAAUCUUUUAAAUUCUUGAGUUAUUCAUACUACUUCCCAGUUAUUGAACAAUUGUGGAAGAUUCUUGUUAUUCUGCAAGAUAGAAGUGAAAAAGGAAAGUAUUCCUUAGAAAGAAGUGAGUCGUAGAAUACGACACUGAAUGAUGAGUAUGUUGAAUAAGUGAGAAAAGAAAUUUUGAAGUGAGAAGGAUAUGAGUUAUCAAAGAAAUUUGUAAAACUUUUAAUAGAAAAGUUAAUAGUUGUAGAAUGAUCUUUGUGGAAAGAAAGUGGUUAUAGAAACCAAUCAAUGAAUGAAGUAGUGACGUAAAAAUCUACUUUGAUAGAUUAAAUGAAUAAAGAUUAAUAAAUAAAAUUUCGAGGACGAAAUUCUUAGAAGAAAGGGUGAAUGUAAUAUCCCGAGUAUUUAUGAUAGCGAUCCUUAAGAAAGGAAAUGAAUGGGUUAAGAUAAAUAAUACUCAGAAUAUAAUUGAGUUCAAGUGAAAGUUAUGAAAUGAAACCUAUAAUUUGUUAAAGUAAUGAAUGUAGUAGAAAAUAUAAAACUUAUAUUUAGAUAAAAUGAUGAAAGAUUACUCUGAGUUUGUGUCUUCGAUUCUGAGGACAAAAUCUUUGUAUGUAGGGAAGAUUGUAACGAAUAAGUGGUUUGAGUUGUGAUUCUAAGGAUAGAAUCCUUGUAGGGAGGGAAUGAUGUAACAAUCUAGAUUUUUAAUUAAAUAUUUAUUAAAUUAUAUAAAUAUUUAAUGGAUGUGUUUAUCGUUGAAUAAAUAUUUGUUUAAUUGAUUCGAUUUGAUUUGACUAAUUAUUUGUUUAAUAAAUAAUUAAUGAGUUAAGGAAAGUAAUUAUUUUGAAAUAGUAAUCUAAUUUAAUUUAAUAAUUAAGUUAGAAAGUUUAUAAUGAUUUAAUAAAUUAUUAUAUUAUGCAAUGAAUUGUUAUUAGAAUUAAUUAAAUUAAGUAUGAAAACUUAAUUAAUUAGAAGUGUGACAAAUAACUAUAUUAUAAGUGGUUAUUAAAAUAAAUUAAAGUGAUUUUAAUUUAGUUUUACUAAACAAGGCUUAAGUAUAUUAAGUCUUUAAUUUUAAAUGGAUUUUGCCAAACGGAGCCUUAUGGCUUUUGUAUUUUAAAUUUUGAUUUAUUAAUAAAAUAAAUUAAAUAAAUAAAAUAAUAAAUAAAAUAUAAAAUAAACAUUUGUAAUUGAUACGUUAUAUGUUUUGUAACUGAUGCUUUUAAUUGGUGUGUUAUGGCCAUAACAGUUUUGGGUUUUUUUGGGUUACGUAUUCUUGUUUUGCUAGAUGAGUCUAAGAAGAAAGAAAAUGAAAGAAAGAUUCAGAGAAUAUGAGAGAGAGUCUAAGAGAGAGAAGCAACAAGAGAAGGUUCUGAAUUCUUAUUCUCAGUGAUUAACAACUAAUUUGUAAAGCAACAUAAGGUAUGUGUAUAUAAAGUAUAUAUGUUUUACGAAAAGUCUCGGUGUUAUUGAAUUUCAGUCUAUAAGGUUUUUACAAAAAUUGUCUGUAAACCAUGUUUUAGAAUUGGUUAUGAUAUUACAUGUAAUUAUAAUUGUAAUUGUUAUAACUAACAUAUAUAUAUAUAUAUAUAUAUAUGUUGUAUGCUAAAAUACGUUUAAAGAGAAAGAAGAAUUGGUUUUACAGUGAAAACGUGUAUGAACUUUAGUUGUACAAAAUCAAAGGUUAUAGAUACAAUUGUAUGCUAGUUGUGAAAUUAAAAGUCGGGUGUGUUAAUUGGAUAUGAACUACGGAGAAUUGAAGUUUAAAAGUAAUCAAAUUGGUGGUUAGUAGGAUUUACAGUAUUCACUGUGUUUAUCAACUGUCAAUAAUGGAGUUUUGUUUUAAAAACGGUGUUUCAAAGAAUUAAGUUUUCUAAAAUGGUUGUUUAGUUGUUGGUAAUUGGAAUAUGGAUGAUUCCUACCAUUAAUGAGUAAUUUAUAUAUGUUAGCAUGUUAAUUUAGAUGUUAGCAGUGUUAAAUAGACAGAAAUUAGUUGUUUUGUUCUCCGAUGGUUGGGUUCUGCAAGUUUCGGUGCCCCAGCGCCGAAAUGCGCACCCCAGCGCCAGAAAUUCGAACCCCAACGCUGAAAUUAGCACCCCAGUGCCAAAUUUUGCGCCCCGACGCCACUGGUUAGCCUAGUUCUCUCGCCGCGGCGCCGGAACAGAAGUCUGGGUCGGACAGUUUUGACCUCCUGUAGUAAAACGGCCAUAACUUUCUCAUACGAACUCCGAUUGUGGUGAUUCAAGAUGAUCCGAAACGACGACGAGUAGACCUACAACUUUUGUUCUUUAAGUUUUUCAAUUUGAGGUCUGAAACAGUAGUCAAAAUGGUCAUCUUUAGAACUAUUAUGUUUUCGGGGGCAAUCGGAGGGCGUCGGGCAUGCAGAUAUGCAUGUGUAGUGCUCAUGACGAUAAGAGAUGUUAUUCUAAGUUAUAAAAAUUGAAUAUUAGUAAAUAUAAUGAUGCUUAAUAUUAAUAAAUAAUGUAUUAGAUACGUUUUAGAAGCAUAGUAAGCAUACACAAGAGAUGCAAAUCGGGCGUGUGACGAUUGAACGUCGAAACGCCGUGUCAAGUGUUAAUGAAGUUAAAAAGAGUUUCAAUUCAAUUGAAAUGAAUAUUAUAAGAUAUGGAAUGGAUUUAAUAUAAAACCAAUAAGUAGUCCUAGCAAGACUUAAGCACUUGAAUGAACUUCAAAUAUGAAAUACAGUGAGAUAUAAGUCGAAAAGUUAACACAAUCUAAUUGAACAUUGUGUGCUAAUUAAUAGGAAAGAUUAUGAGAUGUGGAUUAGAGUUUACAUUACAAUUACUAUGUGUUGUUACGUGACUAAUAGUUGAUGUGUAUGAUAAUAUAAUUGUGUAGGGCACGUGAAGUGCAGAUAACUGUAAGUUGUUAAACUGUUAUUGGUAAACAACGAUUAAGGCAAGUCUUUCAGUUCCUAUUUGUUACGUGGACUUGAUGAACUAUUUUAAAUUGCAUGAUAUGUUAUGCAUGUUGAAAUCAUGAAAUGUUAAAGUCGAUAUAUGACUGCAUUGUUUUGGCUAAGUAAUGAUGAUUAAGUAAGGAACUCAAUCUUUAUAAUUGCUAUAUGAAUUAAAAGCAUGUAUGCCAUGUUACUUUAAUGAGAUGUAUAUCGAGCAUGUUAUUAUGUGCUAUGUGAUGCAUGAAAAAUGUUAGACUUUGUUGGGUUGUCGAGCUCACUCUUGCAAAUAACCACUUUUGCAGGUUAAGAUUUUAAAGUAAAGAUAUGUGCUAAGUGAG
rnacentral:lncRNA from 1 species